GAGUUUGAUCAUGGCUCAGAUUGAACGCUGGCGGCAGGCCUAACACAUGCAAGUCGAGCGGUAACAUUUCUAGCUUGCUAGAAGAUGACGAGCGGCGGACGGGUGAGUAAUGCUUGGGAACAUGCCUUAGGGUGGGGGACAACAGUUGGAAACGACUGCUAAUACCGCAUGAUGUCUACGGACCAAAGGGGGCUUCGGCUCUCGCCCUUAGAUUGGCCCAAGUGGGAUUAGCUAGUUGGUGAGGUAAUGGCUCACCAAGGCGACGAUCCCUAGCUGGUUUGAGAGGAUGAUCAGCCACACUGGAACUGAGACACGGUCCAGACUCCUACGGGAGGCAGCAGUGGGGAAUAUUGCACAAUGGGCGCAAGCCUGAUGCAGCCAUGCCGCGUGUGUGAAGAAGGCCUUAGGGUUGUAAAGCACUUUCAGUAAGGAGGAAAGGUUAGUAGUUAAUACCUGCUAGCUGUGACGUUACUUACAGAAGAAGCACCGGCUAACUCCGUGCCAGCAGCCGCGGUAAUACGGAGGGUGCGAGCGUUAAUCGGAAUUACUGGGCGUAAAGCGUGCGUAGGCGGAUGAUUAAGCGAGAUGUGAAAUCCCGGGGCUCAACCUCGGAACUGCAUUUCGAACUGGUCAUCUAGAGUACUGUAGAGGGUGGGUGGAAUUUCCAGUGUAGCGGUGAAAUGCGUAGAGAUUGGAAGGAACAUCAGUGGCGAAAGGCGGCCACCUGGACAGAUACUGACGCUGAGGCACGAAAGCGUGGGGAGCAAACAGGAUUAGAUACCCUGGUAGUCCACGCCGUAAACGAUGUCAACUAGCUGUUUGUGUCCUUGAGACGUGAGUAGCGUAGCUAACGCGCUAAGUUGACCGCCUGGGGAGUACGGCCGCAGGUAAACUCAAUGAAUUGACGGGGCCCGCACAGCGGUGAGCAUGUGGUUUAUCGAUGCACGCGAGAUCUUACAUCCUGACAUCAGAGAUUUCUAGAGAUAGAUAGUGCUCGGGACUCUGAGACAGUGCUGCAUGCUGUCGUCAGCUCGUGUUGUGAAUGUUGGGUAGGUUCCGCAACGAGCGCAACCCUAUCUAUUGCAGCGAUAUGUCGACUCUAGGACUGCCGUGUAAAUCUCGAAGAGAAAGUGUGGGG
rnacentral:rRNA from 1 species